UACGUAGGUGACCAGCGUUGUCCGGAUUUACUGGGCGUAAAGAGCGCGCAGGCGGUCGUUCAAGUCGAGUGUGAAAGCCCCCGGCUCAACUGGGGAGGGUCAUUCGAUACUGAUCGACUUGAAGGCAGGAGAGGGAAGCGGAAUUCCCGGUGUAGUGGUGAAAUGCGUAGAUAUCGGGAGGAACACCAGUGGCGAAGGCGGCUUUCUGGCCUGUUCUUGACGCUGAGGCGCGAAAGCUAGGGGAGCAAACGGG
rnacentral:rRNA from 1 species